GGGCCCGCACAAGCGGUGGAGCAUGUGGUUUAAUUCGAUGCAACGCGAAGAACCUUACCAGCCCUUGACAUCCUCGGAACGACCUAGAGAUAGGUUGGUGCCUUCGGGAGCCGAGAGACAGGUGUUGCAUGGCUGUCGUCAGCUCGUGUUGUGAAAUGUUGGGUUAAGUCCCGUAACGAGCGCAACCCUUGUCCUUAUUUGCCAGCACGUGAAGGUGGGAACUCUAAGGAGACUGCCGGUGACAAACCGGAGGAAGGUGGGGACGACGUCAAGUCAUCAUGGCCCUUACGACCAGGGCUACACACGUGCUACAAUGGGAUGUACAGAGAGCAGCCAAUGCGCGAGCAUGAGCAAA
rnacentral:rRNA from 1 species